rnacentral:rRNA from 1 species
UACGAAGGGGGCUAGCGUUGUUCGGAAUUACUGGGCGUAAAGCGCGCGCAGGCGGCUAUCCAAGUCAGUGGUGAAAGCCCGGAGCUCAACUCCGGAACUGCCAUUGAAACUGUUUAGCUUGAGGAUGAGAGAGGUGAGUGGAAUUCCCAGUGUAGAGGUGAAAUUCGUAGAUAUUGGGAAGAACACCGGUGGCGAAGGCGGCUCACUGGACCAUAACUGACGCCGAUGCACGAAAGCUAGGGAGCAAACAGG